ACUGUAUCGCUUUAGCCACCAGAGCAUGCCCAACCGCCACCGACAAACAUAACAGUCCCUUUUUAAUACCUCAGCAUUUCAGUUACGCCGCCCAAACGCCCCAAAGAUGCCAAUGUAUAUCUUUCCUUGUGGAUCGUGACGGUAUGCCAUAUAUGCAGAAUGAACCCGUCUUGCGGCGGUAGAUCGCAAUAUAGAAUGUACAUAUGCUAAAGCGCUGAUGAUAACAUUACAACAUCAAAACAUUUCCCUACCAAGACAAUAACACGUUAAUCCAAAACCAUCCAUUUACAACAUCCUUUGCGAUAGUUUUCGUCAUAUGCUGCAUGUUUACCCCUUGGGUCAUCUCAUGUGAUGUCCCUCCAGGAUCACUCCCUGAAUACCCUGUGUCUAUCCCAAAGUCCAUAUCUGGCAACAUCCCUUCCAAGCCCCAAUCGCCCAUGAACGGUAAUCCCCCAUCGUCUGCUGUAAACAUGAACUGUGGGACCUCGUCGAAUUGCGGCAGUUGGUUGUUGGUGUAGUGGUGAGGGUCUUGUAGAUGGUGAAGAUGAGGAUGUGUAUGAAUAAAGUUUGUAUGGGGGUUGUAUGUCGAAGAGUGGGUUACGGAGGUCUCAGAAUGAGGCGCAUGGUAGAUUUCUUUCUUUGAGAGCAACAGACGCAUAUUGCGUGACAACUGGCGAGCCAUGGCGUCAACAACAGAAAAGUACCCGGGAAUGUCUACUGCAUGCCUUGCAUCCGCUUGCGCCUCCAGUUCGCCAAUAAGC
rnacentral:sRNA from 1 species